CUUUCACACCGGACGAAUGGCGUACAGCUGUGUUGUCGGUCCAUUGGAAACUCUUUUCGGGCCACCGUGGGGAGGGGAAAGCUACAACUGUAAAUGAGUGAGGUUCAUGUGGUUUACUGUUCGUCGUGCACAUGCUCGAAUCCUGAUGCUCUGCAAGUUGUUGCUGUUUUUUUGUUGUUGCUGUUUUUAAGAAAAUGCUCUCAGAUGCCUCACAGGACAGGAUAUUGCCAAGAACCCUGUCACGGUGCCGACACAGAGAAGGGCCUCUCCAAAAACAGAAGGUUGGAGAAAACAGAGCGACCGACAUGGGCAUAACCCCAAACCUCUAACAAGGUGUCCGUGAGGACGGCCUUCAUGGCGAAUUCAUCCCCAUAAUCAACCCAGUGCAGCAGGAUGAAUGUGGAAAAGACGCACUCAUGCAGGAGAGAGCAGGAUAAAGAACCAGUGGGAUACAUGAGACAGCAGCAACAUAUAUUUUUUUUCCUAUAUUUUUUCAUUCACACUCCUACAUCUUUGCUUCUGAAUGUUGCAGUCCAAUUUUUAUAUCUUUUCCCCCUUUCAUCUCACCCAUUUCUUUCAAUUGCUUGUCCCUCACUGUUCCCUCCUCUCGCUUCUCCCAUCAAAUAUUCUGCUCACGCACAACUGCGGCACCCUUUCUCCAGUCCUCCCCAUUAAUCCACACCACAGACAUCUUGGCCCACUGUCUCGUCUCUCUGUCAAUGUGCACUCAAAAGUCUCAAAGUCUGGGCCAUUUCAGCAGAGAGUGCCUGGCCGUUUUUCGCAGGCUAUGAGGCCUACUGUUGAGCAUGCUUUUCUACUGUACAGGGUGUACCGUGCAGACAGGACAUCAAGCACUCCCCCUCUCUAAAUAUGCUAGAAAAUGAAGACGACAUCCCAGUGAAAGCGCAGGUCAUAUCAGGACAGGUGGCA
ensembl:lncRNA